GUUUGUUUAGGCCUAUGGUUAAUUAAAAGAAAACAUUUUUAUCAGCCUCAGCUCAAGGCAGAAACAAAGCCUUCCUGCUGGCACGAACUCAUCCUUUACAGCUCAGCCUGCUUCUCUUUUCUUGCCGUUCCCCCCCACGAGAAAAGUACUGCAACUUUGGGUCCCUAAUUGGAAACCCAAAUACACGGUUGAGCAGAUGCCUGGCAAGAAUACAGAAAGAUUAUUUUGAAAUCAUUUGCAAAAGAGAAUAUCAAAUGCAAACCCCUUUCUAACAAGGAACUCCAAACUUGGAAAGCACAGACCAAGGGACAAGUCUGAGCGAGUUGAAGCCACAAUGUGCUCGUCUCUGAAAUGGAGCAAACAGAGUGGUCUCCUGAAUUGCGGCGGGUGGAGUCAGAAGAAGCCUCUAGCUGGAAGCUGUGCUCCCUGACUCUCCGGCCCCCACCUCUGCCCCACUCAGCAGGGCGGGCUUGAGGGUUCUGCACCAGGAUUUUCAUUCGUGUGAUUCAAUCUGACUGCAGAGAGCUUCUUAGCGCCCUUGUUCAAACAGCACAAGUUGUUGAGUGAUUUUCUAAUUACACUGGUUUCUCCGCAGAAUAAACGGAACAGCUUCAACAACUCUCUGCGCAGGUCUGACUACAGGAAGCUACGAGGCUCCCUGUGAUCUUUCCUCUCCUUCCUGCCAUCUGACUCCCGGAAGGUGGCACCUGAGCCUCCUGCCAGCGAACUCCUGGGAAAACAAAGCUGAACUCUCUCUAGGCCAAUCCCCAGAGCCACAGCCAGUGGGAGUGAAUUUACAUGCACGUUUCGUUGAUAUUUCCUGCAUGUCUCUUGAAAAGGGGAACUGCCAGAUUGUUUUCCAAAGUGGCUGCACCAUUUUACGUGGCCAUGAACAGUGCUUCAGGGUUCCAGUGCCUCCGUAUCUUCACCAACCAGUACCUACCUACGGCCUGUCUGGGGUCCUCGCUCAGGAAGUGACCUGAAGAAGGGGCUGUUCUCCGUGUACCCCUCCCCACCUGGACUGUAGCAAAUAGUAAACACUGGAUGAGUAAGUAGCACAACGCUGGGCACAGAGGACGGCUGGGAAAUUGUUGAAACUUGACAAGUGGUUGUGGAGUCGGUUGGAACUCUGUCAUAUGAGCAUUUAAUUUUCAGGCUGCAUUUAAAAUCCUUUAUCCCCUUCCUUCCCCCGACACAAGCACACAUGUUCCAUA